rnacentral:rRNA from 1 species
GCACAAGCGGUGGAGCAUGUGGUUUAAUUCGAAGCAACGCGAAGAACCUUACCAGGUCUUGACAUCCCCUGACAACCGAGAGAUCGGGCGUUCCCCUUCGGGGGACAGGGUGACAGGUGGUGCAUGGUUGUCGUCAGCUCGUGUCGUGAGAUGUUGGGUUAAGUCCCGCAACGAGCGCAACCCUCGACCUUAGUUGCCAGCAUUCAGUUGGGCACUCUAAGGUGGCUGCCGGCUAAAAGUCGGAGGAAGGUGGGGAUGACGUCAAAUCAUCAUGCCCCUUAUGACCUGGGCUACACACGUGCUACAAUGGGCGGUACAAAGGGUCGCGAACCCGCGAGGGGGAGCCAAUCCCAUAAAGCCGGCCUCAGUUCAGAUCGGAGGCUGCAACUCGCCUCCGUGAAGGCGGAAUCGCUAGUAAUCGCGGAUCAGCAGGCCGCGGUGAAUACGUUCCCGGGCCUU